UACCAGCACCCCGAGUGGUCGGGACGAUUAUUGGGCCUAAAGCAUCCGUAGCCGGUUCUGCAAGUCCCCCGUUAAAUCCAGCUGCUCAACAGAUGGGCCGCGGAGGAUACUCCAGAGCUAGGAGGCAGGAGAGGCAAGCGGUACUCAGUGGGUAGGGGUAAAAUCCGUUGAUCCAUUGAAGACCACCAGUGGCGAAGGCGGCUUGCCAGAAUGCGCUCGACGGUGAGGGAUGAAAGCUGGGGAGCAAACCGG
rnacentral:rRNA from 1 species